ACCAACACUUUCCUCAUCAUCAAAGUCCUACUAAAGUUCGGACCAAAGAAGGGAGAAAUCGGAGUCAGUGCUCAUUCCACAGUCUUCAGAGCCAGGCUGCUUCUGAUUUAUUCACCUUCAGCUCCUAAAGAAAGCCAGAACUUGUGUCACCCCGACUAAAGAGAAAAUUUAUCUCUCUGCAACUACCGACGGACCUUUCUGGGAAAAUGAAGCAAGCCCCAUUGGCUACCGAGUGAUGAUGCAGUGCACAGAUGUUGGCUCACAAGAGAAAGGAGAAUGCGCUGUUGAAAAGCAGCCGGGAUGUUGGCUGAUUCUCAAAUACUCCUCCGGCCCCACUCCGCCAACUGAGACUCCCUCAGCACCUCAGAGGGGUCUAGAGGCACAAAUAUAGCAGCUGGUGAACAGUUUCAACAGUGAACCCUUUCACUCUUCCCCUAUUUGUUCUUCAACCCCACCUCUCGCUGGGGGGAGUUCUUGGCUCAGGACAAGUUGGAAGAGAAAUACGCUAUCGACUUUACCAUUGAUUGAAGACUGCAUCCGAGACGAUACAUUGCAGCAACGGAGCAGUUGUGACACCACAGUGUACAACUUGCCCAGUUCGGCAUACUGAUAUUUGAUUGGAGGACCUGGACCUUCAUCAAGAGCCACAAGCAUAAAUGUGGCAGGCACACUUAAUUUCAGGAGCUGUGUUUUUUCUGCUACACCUAAAAAGGGAAGGGAGAUGUAUAACAGAUGUCAGGAGUGGAGGAAGGAAGAAGAAAAACUGAGAAGGAAUCCAAGAGGUCUCUCAGCACCAUGUAUAGGCCCUAUACGACGCCAAGGGGCGAGACAAGACUGCAAACAACUUAGCCCUGGAGCUGAGCCAGUCUACUACUCUUGAAACAUGCUCUCCUCUAUGUCCAGUCUCAUUGAUCACUGUACUAAGCACUUGGGAGAGUACAACGCAGCAAUGACCAGUCAUAUUCCCUGCCCAGAGAUGUUGACUGGGGGAGUGGAGGUGAUGUCAAGCCAGACUACCCAGACCUUCCUUCCCUACUGCUUUCAGGGGCCAAAAGUCCAAUGGUAGUGUGAUGCAGCCAACAGGUUAGUUAACAGCACCUUUCUCUGUGUGUGUGUGUGUGUGUGUGUGUGUGUGUGUGUGUGUCGGGGGAGGGGGCAUCACCUGAAAUUUAGGGGUGGUUUUGGGACCUCUGAAGAUAGAGAGGGGAUUUGAUUUGGGUCUGGGAGAAAGGAGGAGUGGUUCUCCUCACCCAAUCUUGGA